CGAAAUUCCUUGUCGGGUAAGUUCCGACCUGCACGAAUGGCGUAAUGAUGGCCAGGCUGUCUCCACCCGAGACUCAGUGAAAUUGAACUCGCUGUGAAGAUGCAGUGUACCCGCGGCAAGACGGAAAGACCCCGUGAACCUUUACUAUAGCUUGACACUGAACAUUGAGCCUUGAUGUGUAGGAUAGGUGGGAGGCUUUGAAGUGUGGACGCCAGUCUGCAUGGAGCCGACCUUGAAAUACCACCCUUUAAUGUUUGAUGUUCUAACGUAGACCCCUAAUCGGGGUUGCGGACAGUGUCUGGUGGGUAGUUUGACUGGGGCGGUCUCCUCCUAAAGAGUAACGGAGGAGCACGAAGGUUGGCUAAUCCUGGUCGGACAUCAGGAGGUUAGUGCAAUGGCAUAAGCCAGCUUGACUGCGAGCGUGACGGCGCGAGCAGGUGCGAAAGCAGGUCAUAGUGAUCCGGUGGUUCUGAAUGGAAGGGCCAUCGCUCAACGGAUAAAAGGUACUCCGGGGAUAACAGGCUGAU
rnacentral:rRNA from 1 species